AUUGAACGCUGGCGGCAUGCCUUACACAUGCAAGUCGAACGCGAAAGCGGGGCAACCCGCAAGUAGAGUGGCGAACGGGUGAGUAAUACAUCGGAACAUUUCCAGUAGCGGGGGAUAACCUGUCGAAAGAUAGGCUAAUACCGCAUACGCCCCACGGGGGGAAGCGGAGGACCGCAAGGCUUCGCACUAUUGGAGCGGCCGAUGUCGGAUUAGCUAGUUGGCGGGGUAACAGCCCACCAAGGCGACGAUCCGUAGCUGGUCUGAGAGGACGAUCAGCCACACUGGAACUGAGACACGGUCCAGACUCCUACGGGAGGCAGCAGUGGGGAAUUUUGGACAAUGGGCGCAAGCCUGAUCCAGCCAUGCCGCGUGAGUGAAGAAGGCCUUCGGGUUGUAAAGCUCUUUCGGCGGGGACGAAAUGGUCCGUGCUAACACCACGGACUGAUGACGGUACCCGAAGAAGAAGCACCGGCUAACUACGUGCCAGCAGCCGCCGUAA
rnacentral:rRNA from 1 species